GAAAUGCGAUAAGUAAUGUGAAUUGCAGAAUUCCGUGAAUCAUCGAAUCUUUGAACGCACAUUGCGCCCAUCAGUAUUCUGAUGGGCAUGCCUGUUCGAGCGUCAUUUCAACCCUCAAGCCCCCGGGCUUGGUGUUGGGGAUCGGCCCGCCCCUCGCGGCGCGCCGGCCCUGAAAUCUAGUGGCGGUCUCGCUUGCAGCCUCCUCUGCGUAGUAGCAACACCUCGCACCGGAACGCAGCGCGACCACGCCGUUAAACCCCCCACUUCUGAAGGUUGACCUCGGAUCAGGUAGGAAUACCCGCUGAACUUAAGC
rnacentral:misc_RNA from 1 species